rnacentral:tRNA from 1 species
GUGAAAGUAAUUUAAAUAAAAUAUUUGUUUUGCAAACAUAAAAUCUAGACCUAAAAAUCUAGCUUUUACA